rnacentral:rRNA from 1 species
CCUACGGGAGACAGCAGUGAGGAAUAUUGGUCAAUGGGCGCGAGCCUGAACCAGCCAAGCCGCGUGAGGGAAGACGGUCCUAUGGAUUGUAAACCUCUUCUGUAGGGGAGCAAAAGACGCCACGCGUGGCGUUCAGAGAGUACCCGAAGAAAAAGCAUCGGCUAAAUCCGUGCCAGCAGCCGCGGUAAUACGGAGGAUGCGAGCGUUAUCCGGAUUUAUUGGGUUAAAGGGGUGCGCAGGCGGAAGAGCAAGACAGCGUUAAAAUUGAGGGGCUCAACCUCUUCGAGCCGUUGAAACUGGGUUUCUUGAGUGAGUGAGAGGUAUGCGGAAUGCGUGGUGUAGCGGUGAAAUGCAUAGAUAUCACGCAGAACUCCGGUUGCGAAGGCAGCAUACCGGCCUGCAACUGACGUUCAUGCACGAAAGUGUGGGGAGCGAACAGGAUUAGAUACCCUAGUAGUC